UCAAGGCCGCCGGCGGCGCUGUCGUGCUCGUUGCCUAGGGUUCUGUUCGCGACCGUGCCUUGAGAUCUAUUAUAUCUGAACUAUUAGUUGUUUCCCGUACCAGCAAUUUGUGUUGAACAAGACAUCGUUAGUUUGUUAUCCUGGUUCCUGUGUGGUAAACCAACAUCUUAUGAGAAUUUUGCGCUAUGUUAUGCCAGUUUAUAUCAGACGAGUUAUCCAUAUCUGUGCUCCUAUUUAUGUUUCGUUUGAUCUGUGUUAAUCCCUAAUGUUAUCAAUCCCUAAUGCAUAUACUGUUAUUUGCUAUGGUGCAUCACCAUAAGAUUCUAUGCCUGCUAGUCAUCUUAACUUCAUGAUUCUAUGCCUGCUAGUCAUGUGAACUGUAUGAUUCUAUGCCUGCUUGUGCUUGUCAUGUGACAUGUGAACUGUAUGAUUUUGAUUUGCACUAUGUUAUGCUUUGUUUUCUCUUUGUUAAUCUUGUCAUAGUGUAUUACUUCAGGAUUCUAUUUCUUGUAGUCAUAGUGAACUUUGAAUUGUAUGCCAAUGAUUUGCUUGCUUGAUGACAUUGAACUUGAUGUCUGUAGGAGGUUGUUUGUAGACAUACUCAUAGUUAACAUGAUGCAGUAGUUUGUCUUUGGAAUUCCUAGCAGG
rnacentral:lncRNA from 1 species